GACAGAGGGUGCAAACGUUGCUCGGAAUCACUGGGCGUAAAGGGCGUGUAGGCGGGAGAGAAAGUCGGGCGUGAAAUCCCUAGGCUCAACCUAGGAACUGCACUCGAAACUUCUUUUCUUGAGUGCCGGAGAGGAAAGCGGAAUACCUGGUGUAGAGGUGAAAUUCGUAGAUAUCAGGUGGAACACCGGUGGCGAAGGCGGCAUCCUGGACCGGCAUUGACGCUGAGGCGCGAAAGCUAGGGGAGCAAACGGG
rnacentral:rRNA from 1 species